rnacentral:lncRNA from 1 species
GGUGAAAACUGUAGGUGCAAGUCUUCCUCUUCAACUCUGGAACGGUUGCCAUCUCUCACAGUGAAUAGACUCCUGAAUGAACCUGAGAAAUGAUAUGCAUGAGGAAAUUAGCUUUUUUUCUUUUCUCUUUUCUUUUUUUUAUUUCUUUUUUCCAUUUUUUUAUUGCAUUAUUUUUCAGAAAUAAACAUGAUAUGAUGCAAAUGGUGCAAACACGACUGGUUGGCUGUGUAUCACGGAGCACAGGUUCAAAGCUUCGGCUUGAAUUCGGAACCACAAAGUCAUCUGAGACCCAAAGUCAUCUGGAACCCAUUCUGUAGGACCAAGUCACCAACAGGAAC